GGCUCCAAGAUUAUGAUUUGAAGAUGACGAGCUAAUGUUAUCUGAAUCUGAAGUCUGAGCUUGGCUAUGGGCUUGAUUGCGUUGGGCUGGGCUAGCAUAUGCUGGGUAGCUCUGUUGCUAUAAAACCCAAUCCCACAAAAUCUUCCUGACAGUGUACCUCUCUGAAGUCUGGAUAUUAUCUUCACUUCGGCAGUCUUCACCUACCAUUUCUGCAGGGCAAUGGUAACCAGUGAACAGUGAACACACCUACGUAUAGACAGCUCUGUGCUUCAUCUCUUCC
rnacentral:misc_RNA from 1 species